CUUCCGGCAGCAAACUUGAGGAUCCUGUCCUUCAUGGCUUCUGGGAAGGAAGACUGAGUUUUCCUUGGCCGCCACCAGCUUCCGCAGCGUCUGGUUUCGACGGCGAAUGUCCUCUUCUAGUAUAUUCUGAAUUUUCUUUACUCGUGGGAAAGUCUUGUUAUUCCCCCGAUGGAAAUACCGUUUCGGAGGUUCUUCCUUCAUAACGUUUAGGCGCAUCGGUGGCAGUGAGCAGCUUGCACUUUUCCCAUUUGUGUUGCUCUGUGCCAGGGCUGGUGUUUCUCACACGGUAGAAGACCGUGUGUAAGGCUGCAGAGGCAGAGAUGAUGUCUGAUUUCUGGGCAGCAACAAGGAAGGGACUUGGAGAUUGUGUGCUGCGACUGUUGGCCUGGAGACAAGAGGACCUUUGUACCAGCUGGGGCCUUUUUGGUUGUAAAACAUCAGAAUAACUUAUUCAAGGGGAGAGGAGACAGAGAUCUGGGUUCGUUUAUCCAUUCUCCUGGCACCAGGUGAAGAAGCUGUCAUCUCACGGAUGCAUGCAUCCACCGAGUCAUGCGUAUGUGCUCAAAGAAGAACAAAAUGCCUGGUCUGUGUGGUUAACAUCAAAUUUCAAGAGUGAGGCCUGGGGAAAUACCCCAGGGGACUGAAUUUGAAUCCCAGAAAGCAUGUAGAAAGAAUCCAGAACAGUCCUCCAUCAAGGAAGGUUGUCUUCUUGGACAAAGUUCACAACUUCACAUGGAAGCACAUGGGACUGUAAGGAAAUGGACUGCAUCCUAGAUAGCCAUAUUAGUCAAAUCCACUCUCAUGACCUACAGGAGGACUAAUAUUGUGGUUGAACAUCCCUUUCCUUACAUCUGGAUUCCCUGCUCUUGUUAUCUAGAGUCUGUCUUAGAUUUGUUAAUUAUCUUUUUUUUAAAAAUUAAAAAAAUUUA